CUACUACAGAGGGAAUUUAAAGACUAGAAAGGAUAUGUUGUCAUACAGGCAUCUCCUCGUCCAAAAGAUUAUAGUCAAAAUGCUGUGAUCCUGUGCCAACUUCCCCUGGAACUCUGCUUCAAAAAGCAGGGCUGUGCUCUUCAGAAUUUCUUCUGCCAAAAUUGAAGCUUUGCAGAACAGACACGUACCAGCCUGGAAAUAUCUGCUGCCUCUGAACAAAAUGUCAGACUCUGGAUGCAAUCCUAUCUGGCCUGCAUAGCUUGCCCAAGAUACUGCAAGUCUAUUUCAGACAGUAACAACAAUUCCUAGACCUUUUUCCAGGUCUCACCCUUGUGAUCUUGUUUAGCUCUGUGGUUAGGAACCUCUACUGAUUCAAAAGGUUAUUCCAAUGAGAUUGCAAAACUGUGAAGAAUUCUAAGGUCUACUUUUCAGAGACCUUUAUAAAAUGCUCCCUCCCAGUUUCUACCUUGGUUCUAGUUCUAAGAGAGAACAUCUGAGGAGAUGGAGAGGAAUGCAGGUAACUAGGUAAAUGAGUCUGAUCAAAACUGUGUCUGCAAGAAGCUCUAAACUGCCAGUAGUUCUCCAGUUUCAGUUUUACUUGUGUGUCUGUCAGCAUAACAGAGUAUCUUGAACAUUGAAGGGAGCAAAAGAAAAUAAAUGCUUACUCUAGCAUUAAGAGAUUGAUCCUUAGCUACUGGGCUGAAAGCCUCUUAAAAGGGGCUAAAACCUUCAGCUCCUUUUGAUUUGAUUACACGCACUAAUCAUCUGUUCCAACUUAAGUUAUGGUGAGAGAUCUGGGUGCAAAUGCUUCACAGGCUGUUCUCUAUUGCUCUGCUCACAGCUGCAGUAAGGUCAAGCAGGGAGGUGAGACCUUGGAAUGGUACAAACCAGGGAGGUGAGACUACUUGGGAAUGUAGUUAGCUGUCAGUUAACUAACCAAUAGUUGCUGCUGGCACCUUUAAUCAGUGGCAGGUCUGCAGGAAGUGACCAAAUCUCAGUAUGACGUAACACCAAAACAGCCUGCAGUGGUUCUGCCAUAACGCUGGUUAGUAAUGCAGGCAGUUACACUGGGAAAAUAUGAAUUCUAAGCUCCUCAGAGAUGUCUUGAAUGAAGACCUCCAGUUAAAGCUGCUUCAAGCUUGCACAUCUGGCAAAUAUUUGUUUUUAAUCCUUAGGAAAACUCUGUAGUUUGUGAAAAUAUGCAUUAUGGAAGAGUUUUGUUUGCUCUUCACUUGAAUUGCUGGGUUUAAA